GGGUAAUGUGUGCUGGAACCAGAUGGACGGAGACACAGCAAGUCUGAUCUGUCAAGAGCUGAACUGUGGAAGAUCUGGUGUUUUGUCGGAUUCUACAGCAAGAGUGAAAUCAGCUCCUAACUGGCUGGAUAAAGUUACAUGUCGUCCACAUGAUUCAUAUCUGUGGCAGUGUCCAUCUUUACCCUGGGGACAGAAUGACUGUAAUAAUAAGGAUGAAGUGGCCAAAAUCACCUGCUCAACAAAAGAGUUCAAGACUGCAUAUUAUGAUGAUGUCACCAACAGCAGUGGCCUAAAAGGUCAGUGACCUUUUUAAUUGAUCACCUGAUUCAUUACCAGAUGUUUAAUACAUUCUCAGUCUCAUGAUCUGCAACAAGAACAUAUUUCAGCUUUUGUAUCCAAACAUAUUGUGUGUUGAUGCAGAAGAGACGAUGAAGGAAAUCACACCGGGAUACUAUGAUGAUGUCAUCACUGAUGGACUGAAAGCAGAUCGUGAGACAGAAGACACACCUGAGAGCUAUGAUGAUGUCAUGACGAGCGGACACAACUCUGACAUCAAGAAAGUGAACACACCAGAGAAUUAUGAUGAUGUCAUCAUUAAUAGACCGAGCUCUGAAGGGGUAACAGAGAGAGUUCAGGAGGAGUAUGAUGAUGUGAUGAGUGUCAGUGAAGAUGUGAGAAACCUGUUGGAUUAUGAUGAUGUGGAGGAGGAGUCAAAAAAAGAAAGGGGGCAUUUCGCUCAGUGAUCACAUCCCCUGCCUCGGUUCAACAAAUCUGAACAAAGUUUGAGUGAUAUUGUUAUUAAUAUGUCAAAUCUCAGGUUUUUAUAUUUCCCCCCCAUUUUUGUAUUAAAACUUUUUUUAAUUUGCCUUUGUGAGAUUUUGUUGUAUUAUUUUUUUUGGCCUUGUUAAUAUCAAUAAAAACAUUUCAGACAAAUGUUUGUGUGUAUUUGAGUAAGACAUUACACAACAAAACACAAGCAACACAUUUGAAGACAUUCUGAAUAUAAACCCAAAUGCCCCAUCAGUGAUUUAACAGCCCUCAGCAUCACUGCAGCAAGUACUGGAGUUUUGUGAGUGAUAAAUGGGGAAGAAAAUAUCUAACUUCUACAAUAGACACACACACACACA
rnacentral:lncRNA from 1 species